rnacentral:rRNA from 1 species
GGAGCAACAGUAAUUACAAGCUUAGCUAGCGCCAUACCAGUAGUAGGAGAUACCAUAGUGACUUGGCUUUGGGGUGGUUUCUCCGUGGACAAUGCCACCUUAAAUCGUUUUUUUAGUCUCCAUCAUUUACUCGCCCUUGUUCUUCCUUUUGAUUUAAACGUUCUCCCCCCGGGAGCUGCAGAAUUCUGGCAGGGGCAGCCCCCUUUUCCAGAUCAUGAAAAUGUGGUGGAGAGUGAUGAUUCAUCAACUGAUUCAUCAGGGAGUUCAUCUGAUGAUUCAUCAACUGAUUCAUCAGGGAGUUCAUCUGAUGAUUCAUCAACUGAUUCAUCGGAUCUCGACACGGAUUAUGAUGAGCUAACUGAUGAUUCAUCAACUGAUUCAUCAGGGAGUUCAUCUGAUGAUAUGGACUGCUCUGAAGGAACACCCCCCCCCCUGAAGGGAAUGAAAGCCGUCUGA